AGCAAUUCCCUUUCUCUACCAACCACAUCUCUAAAGAAAACCUAAUGAUGCUGAAUGAAAGAGCCUGUCUGUCGUUCAGAGGGUUCGACAGCCAAGGAACAAGUCAUCAAACUGCUCCUCAACCGGGUCCACUAUAGAUUAUUCAACUUAAGUCUGUAUCUCGCUGUAUUACAUCCUGGAAUAAACCAUUUAUUCAACCCUCUGA